CCUACGGGUGGCUGCAGUGGGGAAUAUUGGACAAUGGGCGAAAGCCUGAUCCAGCCAUGCCGCGUGUGUGAAGAAGGCCUUCGGGUUGUAAAGCACUUUCAGUGGGGAAGAAAGCCUUGGGGCUAAUACCCUCGAGGAAGGACAUCACCCACAGAAGAAGCACCGGCUAACUCCGUGCCAGCAGCCGCGGUAAUACGGAGGGUGCGAGCGUUAAUCGGAAUUACUGGGCGUAAAGCGCGCGUAGGCGGUCUGAUAAGCCGGUUGUGAAAGCCCCGGGCUCAACCUGGGAACGGCAUCCGGAACUGUCAGGCUAGAGUGCAGGAGAGGAAGGUAGAAUUCCCGGUGUAGCGGUGAAAUGCGUAGAGAUCGGGAGGAAUACCAGUGGCGAAGGCGGCCUUCUGGACUGACACUGACGCUGAGGUGCGAAAGCGUGGGUAGCAAACAGGAUUAGAACCCCAGUAGUC
rnacentral:rRNA from 1 species